CUGGCUGAGGAUCUUUUAACAAUUAGCGGUUCAAAUUGUACAUUGUUUAACACCUUGUUUCCUUGAACCACAGAACACAAUUCUUUAGGACUGAUUUAGAAGUCAAAGUCAAUGAUAUUGUCAUGCCGGGAAGUUUCACUUUUUCUCAUCAUAAUCAAAUUCCCAAGUAAAAGGAUAUUACCAAAAACCAGGAUUAAAUCAAGCAUAGCUAUUUCCUAUUUCAAACUAUAAUCGUCACUAAACCUUGAAAUGAUACAGAUUUUCUUUUCAAACUCGUAAAAGUGUUUUCAUAUGAGAAGACAAGAUAAAGAUAUGUGCAUUUUCACACGGCGAUCAGAUGUCAAAGGGAAAAUAUGCAAGCAAAUCACUGGACUUUAAUCUUGAAGAAGAAAAGGUUAUUUCUGCAAUUAAAUGAGUUCACUUCCUGGUCUAUUCUGCAGAAUAUUUCCCACCAUUUUGUGUGAUAUGCUUGUGAAUCUCCUUCCGUGCAUCUAAGAUAAUGAAGGACAUAAAAAUUGAAGAACUGGAGGACAACCAACAGCAGCGGCUAUAUCAAACAAUCAGUACCUGCCGGAAUUCCUAUGACAUUCAUUGUCAAUCCAGAAAAUGGAAGAACUCUAUAAGACUCUUGAGGUACAACACGGUGCUCAAUACGGCAUUAGUAUAACCAAUUAAUGGUGACAACAGGUCACUUCAGAACAUUUAAAGCCCACUGUACGAUGACAACAUAUAUUGAUAAAUACAAUUUAUCUCUCAAGAUGGGAUUCAUAAAAGAAUUUGCUCAUAGAAUAUCCAAAAAAAAAAAUAUGGAGGAAACUCUUCCUAAGUUCAGCCAACUCAAUCAGAGUACUACCCAUGAUCUCAUUUAAAGUGAAUUUAACCUUUAACAAGAUACAACAAAUUCGCUACUCCUUACCAAAAAAAAAAAAAAAAACAAAUUUGCUACUCUUAAACUAAAUUCAAAUUUUUAACUCCAAGACCUAAACCCUGUAUUUUGCAGCCAAAAUAUUCUUCGCAAUUUUGAAGCUAACAUCUGCUGAAGUUUUGGUCUGUAGAGCUCCCCCCGUUGAAGUAACCUAUUUCUCAAUCUCAGCCUGCAGACUCACAGAAAUGGUGAAACAAUAAGAGAGACGACAGGCUGCCACCAUAUUUGUUCAGACAAAAGCAUGUCUGCAAGCAAAAGAUUCAAGGGGUCACAUAGAAGGAUACAUGUAUAAGGAUAAGUGACACGCCACACUGAAUUUGAGUGACAAGUUACGACAAAGAUUACAUGCUAAAAAAUCAUACAAGGCCAGGCUUAUCUAGGAACAGGCAUACCUCCUCAUCCGUCUCAAAUCCAGAUGCAAGGACUUCGACACCAUCCAUAGCAAGACAAACAAGUAUACCCUUUUUGCGGUAGAGGUCUCCGUUCUUUCGCAUGCGAAACCACCACACACUGCAGACCUGCAAGAAAUAUCCUCCAUCAAAGUCAACAUUUUUUUUCCCAGGCGGAAGAACUCCUCUCGACUUGCUUGACCAGCACAUAGACCCAAAUGCCUCCGUUUUCAUUUCUCAACUACAAGUCUUGGUUUAGCAUUUAGCAGCCUUCAAAAUAUGAAUGUGACCCCAUCUUUUAGCAACCUUGUAUUUAUCUUCUGGAGCUUACAGCCAGUCAAGGGCAUCGUAGUGGAACUCACAGUGCUACAGAGCAUCAUAUAUGAGGCCAAUAGAAAGAUUCAAUGGUAAUAACAUUGCUGAGCAAUGUGCUUUGAGCAACCAACGGGCAGUCCUAACUCACACUGGAAAAGUGAGAACUGGUUGAGGAUCUUUUAACAAUUAGCGGUUCAAAUUGUACGUUGUUUAACACCUCGUUUCCUUGAACCACAGAACACAAUUCUUUAGGACUGAUUUAAAAGUCAAAGUCAAUGAUAUUGCCAUGCCAGGAAGUUUCACUGUCUCUCACCGUAAUCAAAUUCCCAAGUAAAAGGAUAUUACCAAAAACCAGGAUUAAAUCAGGUAUAGCUAUUUCCUAUUUCAAACUAUAAUCAUCACUAAACAUUGAAAUGAUACAGAUCUUCUUUUCAAACUCUUAAAAGUGUUUUCAUAUGCGAAGACAAGAUAAAGAUAUGUGCAUUUUGACACGGUGAUCAGAUAUCAAAAGGAAAAUAUGCAAGCAAAUCACUGGACCUUAAUCUUGAAGCAGAAAAGGAUAUUUCUGCAAUUAAAUGACUGCACUUCCUGGUCAAUUCUACAGAAUAUCUCCCACCAUUUUCUGUAAUAUGCUUCUGAAUCUCCUUCCGUGCGUCUGAGAUCAUGAAGGACAUAAAAAUUGAAGAACUGGAGGACAACCAACAGCAGCAGCUAUAUCAAACAAUCAGUACCUGUAGGAAUUUCUGUGACAUUCAUUGUCAAUCCAGAAAAUGGAAGGACUCUAUAAGACUCUUGAGGUACAACACGAUGCUCAAUACAGCAUUGGUAUAACCAAUUAAUGGUGACAACAGGUCACUUCAGAACAUUUAAAGCCCACUGCACGAUGACAACAUUAAUUGAUAAAUACAAUUUAUCUCUCAAGAUGGGAUUCAUAAAAGAAUUUGCAUAGAGAAUAUUCAAAAAAAAAAAAGAUGGAGGAACUCUUCCUAAGUUCAGCCAACUCAAUCAGAGUACUACCCAUGAUGCUUCCCAUACUCAGUGAAAAAGCAUAAUGAAUCUUUAAAGUGAAUUUAACCUUAACAAGAUACAACAAAUUCGCUACUCUUAAACUAAAUUCAAAUUAUUAACUUCAAGACCUAAACCCUGUCUUUUGCAGCCAAAAUAUUCUUCGCAAUUACGAACCUAACAUCUGCUGAAGUUUUGGUCUGUAGAGCUCCCCCCGUUGAAGUAACCGAUUUCUCAAUCUCAGCCUGCAGACUCACGGAAAUGGUGAAACAAUAAGAGAGAUGACAGGCUGCCAUCAUAUUUGUUCAGACAAAAGCAUGUCUGAAGGCAAAAGAAUCAAGGGUUCACAUAGAAGGAUACAUGGAUAAGGAAAAGUGACGCGCCACACUGAAUUUGAGUGACGAGCUACGACAAAGAGUACACGCUAAAAAAUCAUACAAGGCCAGGCUUAUCUAGGAACAGGCAUACCUCCUCAUCCAUCUCAAAUCCAGAUGCAAGGACUUCGACACCAUCCAUCGCAAGACAAACAAGUAUACCCUUUUUGCGGUAGAGGUCUCGGUUCUUUCGCACACGAAACCACCACACACUGCAGACCUGCAAGAAAUAUCCUCCAUCAAAGUCAACAUUUUUUCCCAGGCAGAAGAACUCCUCUCGACUUGCUUGACCAGCACAUUGACCCCAAUGCCUCCGCUCUCAUUUCUCAACUACAAGUCCUGGUUUAGCAUUUAGCAGCCUCGAGGAAAAACCAGAAGAUAAGACUAGGACGAGAACAAGAUCUUUACCGACUAGCUAACAACCCUUUCAACUGAAGAUCCUCGAACUUCUCAAGACGUAAAACAACCUCAAACCCAAUUCUCAAAAUGAACCCAAAAGCCGUUAGCGCCGCCCAAUCCCAACGUACUCACGUGAUCGGAGAGAAGAAACAGCUUGAAAAUCGCGGGGCCCACUCCUGGAAGGGUCGCGGCGGAGGAAGGCCUCAGCUCCGUUCAGCUUGAGCGCGUCGAACAGCUCGGGAGGCACUGAAGUUCCUCGGCACAAACACGGUCGCCCCCUGAAACGGCUUCGUCUUCGCCAUUUCCUAUCGUCCUUCUCCGGCGGCGACUUCCUCGACAGAUGAUCGAUCUCGUUGCUAAGGAUUUCUGCGAAAUCCAAAUGCAUGUGCGUGAAAGAGAGAGAGAGAGCGAAGAUGAAGCGCAAAGGGAAACGGAAGUUGGAAGAGGAUGAAGGAGGAGCGACUUGGGGAAAAAUUGAGUGGAGUGAGCUUUUUCUGAAUUCUUCCCCCAAAUUGGGAUGGAUUAGGGUAUGAGAAAGCGCGGGAAUGGGGUUUUCCGGCUUUUCCUUUUAAUUCCCCUUUUUUGUGCUAUUAAUUUUAUGGAUAAUUUCUCAAAACACCCCCCCCCCCAACAACUUUCACACCGUUGCAUGACUGCCCUCCAACUUUGAAGAAGGUUCGCACUAUGGACACGAGCCAUGAAAAGAAAAUAAUAUAAAAGAAUAAAAGCAAAGAAUUCAUAAAGAUUUCUUUUUUGAAAAUUGUAAAAUAUUGUCCAUGUUAGUAUUACCUACGUCACGGGCAAUGAUUGACAUUCACAUCUAUAAUUUUCAAAUUAAAUUAAUCAAAAGAAUUACAUUAAGAAAUUGUCAAAAACUUUAAAAUUAAAUUGACCAAAUUAAAAAGUUUAUGAUUGAAUUAACAUUUGUUAAUAAUUAUUUUGUUAAUUUUUCCCUAAAAAGUUAGUCACAUGUCUAGAUCAAAACUUCACAUGAAGUCUUUAUUGUGGACUCAUAAGUGCCGAAGAAUUACAUUGGAUCAUGGAUAACUCUUUUUAUCAUGUUUCAAGAGCAACCAGAGAUUGGGGCUUCUUGGCGAUAAAUCUUUUUACAGAUUUUUUUUUUUUUUGAGUUCAACUCUACGUUAUAUGACCAAUCAAAAGAAUUUUAGAGACACUUUUAGAGAAAUCCUAAUAUUAAUUAUAAUAAUAAACGUGAGUCAAAACCUUCAUUUCGUACAUUUAAAUCCCAAAAGUUGUAACUCCAACAUAUGGGUCUCCUUUUGUUAAUUUUGUCAAUGGAUGGAUAAUAACAAGUGGCUUUUUUCUAACCACGAGGCAUUUUCUGUCUGCUGAAACCUAAUAGGACUAAUGGGAAGACUAAAGUGGAUGAAUACAAUAAGCUGAGGGCUAAGGUGCAUGAAAUAAAAAUUUUAAGACCCAAAUGUAUCGUCGAGACAUCUUUUAAGUUAACUUACAAAUUCAUCAAUGGAGAUACACAUAUCCCAUGCUAACAAAACUUACAAUCGAUCAUUCCAUAAAAUCAACUUUGGAAAUAUGCUUGCUAUGUUUGCACAUAUAAUCUCGGGACAAAAAUAAUAAUUGCGAAAAUCCAAAGAAUCAAUCCAUGACAUCUCGGGUCAGACAUGAUUGUGACAUUGGAUAGAGCAUUCAGAGGCCCAUGAAAUUUGCAGUUUUACAAGACGAAAAAGGAAAUCUAGUAAUAGGAGUAGAUGCACAGUUAGAUCCAAUCUAUACUUUGGGACUUCGGAACCUAUAGAGGAGGUACUUGGAACCCCUAAAUUCCAACACACCUUGUACAAAGAAGAUUUUGAAUGAGCCAUCAAGUUGUAUAUAAACAAUUUCCAUGUAGGUAUAUUGGUUUAUAUGAUAUACAUUCAUUUAAUUGACCCUGAAGCUAUAUCCAUGUUGAGUUUGUGAUACUACUCUUCUUGAAGUGCCUUAUGAUAAGUCUACUAUUCAUCAUAAAUGUCUUUGACCUAAGUUUCUAAACAAGUUUGUAUUAAGGUUUCUCAAGCAGGACUGUUGGACUAAUUCAUCGGUAUGUCCAUGAUUAGCCUUAAUAUAGGAGCUGGCCAAAUACACCUCUAAUCCAAUGCAAUCAAUUGGACUCUGCGUGAUCAAACGGUUAAACACGGAAAAGUUUCGGGAAAUUUCGAUCUAUUUGCCUUGCCGCUCCCAACUUAUGCACCUAGUAAGGUACUUCGUUAUAGAAUGACCAAGAGUAACUCAUCCAUCAAGUGAAAAACUUACUAGUAAUUGCCACUCUAUAUUGAUGAUAUAGAAGACGAUCUCCGAAAUAAACUCAAAAAAGGCAAAAAUUAUAAUGCAAAUAGGAAUUUAUAGCUCUUGCCCCAAAGAAAUCAUUAUUGGAGAUAUGAGGCAUCCCACAAUGCCAAUUAACUGCAAAGGUGAUGAUGACCAGUCAGUCAAAUGAAUUCAAAUAGCUAUUGAAAAGUUCAACAAAAGGAAAUGAACUUAUAUGUCACAGGGAGACAUCUUAAAGGUGUGUGCUUUCUAAUUCUCGCUAUGCAGCAAUAACUAGAUUGUUCAAAACUCGGAGGUGCAGUUGGUUGAAGGUUUAGUUUAAGGGGAAGAGAGGGAUUGGGUUUGGUAGAUAUGAGUCUUUCCUCUACGGACUUCUUUGAAUGGAAAAGCAUGUCAUUCAAAUCCACCUCUAGUUUUCUCUUAACCUUCUUCUAAGGCAAUAUCGCCUCUCCCUGUCUUGCAUCUUUCGAGAAGGUGCUCAAAGUUUUCUUGGUUUCCUCUUGCUUAGUUCUAUCUGAUCUCAAAUAGUUUAUCGGGAUUCUUUUAGCACUGGAUGAUGACGAUGACGAUGAUUGAUUACAGUUACUUUUAUACAAUGCAAGUGAGCUUUUCUUUUCCAUCCUUUCCUUUGUUUGCUGUAUUCGUUGCCGAGCUCCACAUGUAAUCAUGGCAUACAACCUUAAAUAUGCUCGGAUUGGAGAGAUGAACCGGCUAGGAUUCUGGUCCCAGAAUCAUAUCAACACGAUAAGGAUCGAAAGCUUUUUUGCAAAAAGAAAUUAUGGGCAAUGAGUCAGCUCUCACUCCCACAUUUCUUAUAGAUCCAUCACUUCUUACUAAAUUAGGGCAACGUUGUUGUAAUUAUGGGUGCAAUAAUUUUGAAGAGACGCUCCAAAAAAAAAUAAAAAAAUUCGUCAGGCCUCGACGGAACGAAGAGGCAUUUUCUCGCAUUAGCUUUAGUGUUGAGGCAUGCACUUUGUGCGUGCAUGAUCACAAAUGGAUAGCGUAUGAAGAGACAAGAAUUGUUUUUAUUAAGCGGAUGUGGAGUGCGUGCUAAUUACACACGGGUGUAAUUUGGUGAUUACUUGGUAAGAAGAGGGUGUGCAAUUUUAAUCUUCGACAGGAGGGCAAUUUUGAAAAAAGGAGAGUGACAAAAUGAUAUUUUGGUGAAAACAAAGAAGUGCAAGUGCUUCGAGAUUUGAACCAGGGACCACAAGCGAUAAAGAUUGAAUGGCAAUAAACUUAUUUUGCCAUUUGGAGAUAGAUCUUCAUACACCCAUCAAAAUGGUGUUUCAGGUUGGUUUUGGAAUGGAUCGAAAAUGGUCCGGUCCAAAUAAACUCAUUUUAAUCCAUUUAAAUCCAUUUACAAACAAUAUGUAUAUAGUGACUCAUAUUAAACAUGUUCCGCGUUGCUAAAAUAUCUCUUUAUUUAACCUAAAUCUAGGAAAAUUCACAUCCAAAAUUGAGGUGGGUUGGGUCAUAAACCCAUUUAGGGCGCGUUUGGUAACGAUUAUGUUCUCGGGAACUGAUUCUGACCAGAAAUGAUUAUUUCUGAUUCUGUUCCCGCGAACUGAUUAUGAGGAAAAAAACGCGUUUGGUAACAAAUAAAAUUUCUGAUUCUGGAAUAGAAAAAGAAUAGAAAUGCGUUUGGUAAUUAUAUAAAAUUUCUAUUCCAAUUCUUUUUUAAUUACCUUUUUAGAUUAAAAUAAAUUUGAUAUUGAAUUUUCAUAAACCAAUUGAAUUUUCAUAAACCAUUCACUGAUUAAUUAUAUUUUUAUACUAAGUAAUAAAAAUAUUAACUAAUCAAUUUUUAUUAUAUAGUAAAUAAUAAACCAUAGUAUAAACUAUACUAAUAUCACUACAAUAUGUAAUAAAUAAAAAUACUAAAUUAUAACAUAAAAUUAAAUAUGUAUUCUAUAUACAACAAAUAUAUAUUUCAUACUAGGAAGAAAUAAAAAAAAAUAUAGAAAUAAAAAAAAAAAUUGAUUCGGCACUUUUGAUUCUCUUUUUUGAUUCUCGGAUGGAGAAUCAUAUUUUUUUUUUUUAUUCUGAAUUCUUGUCCAAAACUGAUUCUGGGAGUAAAUUUGUUCCCAAAAUCAGUUUUGGACAAAAAAUUUACCAAACGCGAUUCUGUUCCCAAACUGAUUCUGAGAACAAAAAAUCAGAAUCAGGCACUGUUUGGAUGGUUGCCAAACAGGGCCUUAAUAGCUCAUCAUUUAUUAUGUACGAUUACGAUCUAUUUUGAUAGGUUUAGUUAUUCAAGAGGGAUAAAAAGACAAAAAACGCCCAGAUCGGAUCCGGACUCAGCACUGUUUUCGCAGCACCAAUUGCAACGGGCAAAUGGCCCCUUUCCUCGCCCGACCCACGAUCCAUCCCCCACAUUUCUCGUCCGUGCCACGUGACUCGCAGGUGCAGAGACAGAGAGAGAUUUGAAAGCUUCCGGUUUUCAUGUGACCCCACCUCGAACGCCCACACCCCCCAGCUUCAGCGCUUGGAGUUUAAAGGAAAAUACGACGACGCGGCACGAACCGUUCGACCUCGGCAAUUCUUGGCAGAGGGCAAUGCCGUUUCGCUCUUCCAUCCCCCGUUUUUAUAUUUUUCAUCUUUUAUUUAUUUCCUUUUUUUUCUUUUUCUCGAAUAUGGUUAAAGGCCAAAUCCCCAUUUUCCCCCCUCCCCUUUUUUGGAUUUUCAUACAUUCUUUUUUCUCCUCCGCUUGGGAUUUUUAUGCAGGACGAAAUUUCCUGUUCUUUUUUCUUUGCUAAUUUAAUGAAAGAGAUCUUGAAAGGGGAAAGUCUGUCAAAUUGAAGCCGUGUAUAUCCGGGUACCCUUCUUUGUUUCCAUUUUCAGUUAUUGGCAAUAAAAUUAUUUUCGAAUAAUGGAGAAACCUCAAUUUUUGAAAAAAUGAUAAUGAAUGUCUCGAGACAAAUCAGAUGCAUUGUAUAAAAAGAAGUAAUGCAGAUGCUUUGGCCACUCACUAGGAUUUUGACUUAUGUUUUAUCAGGUUCAUGACGUUAAAGGGUUAUUUUCAGGGAUUCUUCUGAAAUUGGAUUAUCAUCGAAAAGGGAGUACGAGUAAAUUAUAAGACUUGAUCAAUAGAAUUUAUGCAAAGUCUUCUUUUUUUUUUGGGUCAAAAAAUUUAUGUAGAGACUUUGACUGCCAAAAAGUUCAAUAAAUUAUAGCUACCCUUGCGGCGGAGGAGCGUGCGGAAGACGCGCCUGUCCGAACACGUGAGGUCAAAACUCGCCAUCCCUUUACCUCAGUUCCCAAUCCGUCGCUUUGUGAAAAAUGCUUUCAUCAACAUUCGCUCUGAAAAUGUGAAAUAGGCACAGCAGUUCAUUGUCUCCGGAGCGUCGAGCGAGUGUCGACCACCAUGGGGAAGAGAAGAGGCAAAAACCCUAAUCUCCCACACCCUAGCAGUUUAUUAGGAUUCUUUUAGCACCGGAUGGUCAUGAUGAUGAUUGAUUACAGUUACUUUUAUACAACGCAAGUGAGCUUUUCUUUUCCAUCCUUUCCUUUUUUUGCCAUUUUUGCAUCGGACUCCACAUGUAAUCAUGGCAUACAACCUUAAAUAUGCUCGGAUUAGAGAGAUGAAACAGCUGGGAUUCUGGUCCCAGACUCAUGUCAACAUGGUGAGGAUUGAAAGCUUUUUUGCUAAACAAAUUUAGGAACCCUAGCAGUUGCUGCUGUUGGGCUGUGAAUAGGGUUGCUAGCAGAAGUUGAACCAUGAAUGCCUAAAUCAAUAGACAAUCUCUCUGGCGGGGGUUGUGACUGAGCAACUGCAAGACCCUCAAUUGAAACUAACUCCUUUGUUUUAGGCGCCAACAUCUUUUCUCUUGAUACUCCUAUAAACAGAUGAUAAGAACAACAUAAGCUACCAUUUAGUGGCAUAUAUCUACUUAUGCGUCGCACUUGGAAGGAAAUUCACAUACAGGAGUAAAGAAGAAAGAUGCUACUCUACAUUCUCAUGAAAAGCGAAAGUGCAAAUACUUUUACCACUAUGAGGUCUUGAAAUUCAUAAAUUACAUCGCUCAAGGAGCAUACAUUAAUUAUAUUAUCAAUGUCUAAAUCUAUUUUAGCUGACAACCACUUUUAUUUCUUUGUGACUCGCGAAUCACUGUUUCCUCCAUCCACAUGAAGAAACAUAAAAGCCAUAUUACAUAAAAGUUACCCAUAAAAAAAAAAAGUCAAAGCAAUAGGUGGAAUAAGUAAAGACAAUAUAAUAAUCACUUUGAAGGAAAACUAUGUUAAGUCAUGUGGCGGGCAGGUAAAACACAAAAAAUAUUGGCGUUCUCCCCUUUCACCAAGCACUACAUAUUCUCUUUCAAUUCAUGGAAAAGAAAGUUGGUGGAAGAAUGUAGAAAUAACCAUACCUCAUGUCUGUUGUAAAGUGCCCUUCGCUUCUCUUCGGCCCUACAAAUUGCCCGCUUAAUACCAUGGUUGUCCAUAAAACCAUUUGGCCACAAGGUCCACAACUCUGCAAGCUGUACCUAGUCUCCAAAAAGUCAAGACAUUACACUGACAAAAGCCUCGGAACCAGCGGAUGUAGGUAAAAUCCAACCGAGGUGAUAAAUAAACAGAGAUCAUAUAAAAUCAUUUGCGAUGCAAAGACGACGGGCUCCAUGGAAAUGUUUUUUUAUUUUAAUAUGCUGGUGCCCACAUGCCUUACAUCCUCAAUUUCUCCUGUAUCUUUUUCUUCCCUAGUAGGAAAGAAUGCCCUCCAGUUAUUUUAAAUCCUAGUAAUCCUAAGGUUCAGAGGAGGACGGAGAUCAAAAGGUGAUAAAUAAAUAGAGAUCAUAUAAAAUAACAAGUCAAGCCAACCAAUUCAGUGGGUUCUCCACAUUUCGUAUGCAUGCUAUCACGAUUAUCAUAAAAAAUGUUUACUCGAAAUGACUCCAUAGCGGCCCAAAGUUGACAGCUGUAGCCAUUUCAAAAAGUAGGUUGCACUGUCCACUCUUCGCAUCAGUUAUUAAUUCAGAACAAGGGGAAAUGCGGGGUUUAGUGCUUCAUGAUUUCAUAUAAUUGCAUAAAUAAAUUAUAAACUAACACUGCAUGUGAAACCCACAUUAGGAAAACCAUCACCAUGUUUGACCACUAUACGAACAUACUUGCAACUGUGAACAUGAAAUAUAUUAAAUAUCAGCACUGUAAAUGCAGUUGAUCCCACAUCCAACUAUUAUUUCCGGCAAACUACGGCAAUAUACACCGUCAUUAUGGUUUUGUGAACAGUUCACAAAUGUGAACUGUCAAAACAAGAUUGCAAUAUGUCUAUAAUAGCUAGACAGCCAUAGGAAUAGUAAUUUUUAGUUUUUGGGGCUACUGGUACCUCGGCAUAAAUUUUCUGACUUGUGGACCGGUGUCCUUAUCAAGACCCUAAAAGCAUGAAAUCAAAUAGACAAUCAUGUUUAAAAGUAGCUUUCUAAAGCAUGUUUCAACUAGAAAAAGGCAGUAUAAAAAAUGCAAAGGAAAUAUGUACAUCAACAAAAAGGUCAUAGAGAUCACAAAUCUCGUCCUCCAUUGCAGCAUCCAUAUCAUAUUGUCUUUUAGGAAUUUAUUUUUCCUUCCAAUUCCUGAAAAUCAUUCGAUGCUCCAGAUUGAUGAUGUAGAGCCUGAAUAUCUGGCGGAGAAUGCUAACUUUGGUAAGCAAUGCAAUAACAUAAACCACAAUUAAGGAACCGACAAAAUGCAAAUUCUUCUGAACCCCUUGGCAUCAAACAUUAAUAAAUCUGGUAAAAAAGCCAUUAACAAGUCAGUCACGUCACGAAAGAAACCGUUAAAGAUGACAAAUCAUUCAAUUUUGCACUUCGUAAAGUCUUGAGAUCUUUGUCUUGGUAAAUUUCCUUACUCAUCGUAACUUUUCUUUAUCAAAUGAUAAUUUGAUCACAUCCAUGACUUUCUUUCAUGUAUUGAAGUGAUGACAGAAAAUCGAUUUUGCAAAAUAGACUCGACGGAUCAUGUUUUUGUCCUUUCUAUCCAACGGUCCACGUUGAAUGUAGGACUAAUCCCAUAAAAGAGAGUUUUGAUUUGCGAAAUUUCCAUCCCCAUCAAGAGGUUUUGCCUAUAAUAAAGUAGCUUUUUAUUAUUAUUUUUGCCAAACAGUAAAGUAGUGUUUGGAAAUGCUAUUUUUCCUGAAGUUUUGAAAAUCAUUCCAUUGUAAUAUAUAUUUAAUAUAUAGAAAGGAAAAAAAUGUAAAUUAAGAAACAAUAUUACUUUGCCAAUGUUGUCUUUCACUGACGCACAGCAACAGAUACGUCUAUAACUUUCAUAUGAUAUGCAAGUCUUCCGUUUCCGAAGUAACCUUCACACAUAAUCCUAUCUGCCGAGGUUAACGAUUUUUCAAGCCCAAGCGUGUCAAAUGAAGCCCGGGGUGCAAAAUAGAGCUUAGACAAACUUCAGGGGCGAAAGAGGAAAUUUCAAAAAAAAAAAAUCGAAAAAAUAAGGUUCCAAUCUCUCCCAUUCUCCAGCGUAUAUAUAAAAAUAGGCAGCGGAAGACAUCACCAAUCCCGCCAUCGCUGGGAACGUCUUUUGAAAAGAGCACUUCGAAGCGCGCGGUCUCUAGAGAGAUUAGCGAUCGUCUCGAUUCGACUGCGGCUCGUGCAUCAUCGAUCGAUCGAUUGAAUCGUUCGAACAGGUUGAGACUCCAUGGAGGAUCGGGGCUUGGAAGAGGUAGAGAAAGCUCGGGGUUGCUGAGCUUGGCUCUCGAGUUCGGCUUCGACGAGCAGUCCUCCAGCAAGUGCUUGGGGACUGUCUUGUUUCCCUCUACGGUAACUCGAAUCGUUAUUUCAUCGCCCAUUUUUUAUGCUGAUUAGCGUUGCGGAGGUUGUGUAGGUAUUCUGACAAUUGAUUGUGUUGCGUGGAUGAUUCGUGAAUCGAUUGAUUGUGCAGUCUUGAAUACGGAGAUUUAUUGGGGUUAGUCGUCAUUCUGAUGAUGGCUGUGGAAUGGUCUGCCUUUUGGAUGUGAAUGGAGCGGAGGAGCUGGUUAAAUCUAGUUCAUUGAUCUCGUCCCUAUUUCUCUGUGGGUUUUGCGGAGCAGUCUUAUUGACUAGCGAAAUGUUUGACUUAUUUCUGAACUGACUGGGAAUUUACAUAUGGUGUCUUGCCUACAUAUAAAUAUGGUGUCUCACUGAACUAAGUGCAAAUUACGUAUUGUGGAUUGUGUUUAUUUGAUCUCUUGUUUGCUGUGGAACUUGCAAAAUCAUUUCUUUCUUCUUUUGGUUUUCUUAAGGCAAGGAAGGUCAAGAGUUUAUCACGGUUGAGCACUGGGGCGAUGACUUCCUAGCAGAACUUCCUGAAACCAUGCAAAAAUUCUAAGGAUUGGGAUGAUUUGCAAGCUGUGGAAUCAGAGGCUUCUGUAGUUUUGACUGAUAUGUUUGGCCAAGAUAUCAGUAAUGAUCGUGAAUGCAAUGCCGUGUACGAUGUCAAUUUUAUAGAAGAUUCUCCAUGACCCGAGAAAAAUUGAACUUUCCUUGAGGUAGAUUCCUCUACUGACAGUGCAGACAACGACGAUAUAUUUGGCAGUAAAUGAGCAGGAAACCCACAUGCUAUAUUCCUGAUCAAAGCAGUACUCCGAGCCCUUUAUCCACUCAACUUCUGGCCAGACGAUCUUUAGAAUCCAUGGCAUGCUUCUGAAAACUAUGAAGUUGUCUCACUCCCUUCUGCCCCCACCAGUUUGAAAGGAUUAAGAAAAAGAAAGAAAAGCAAGGUGGCUUGGCAUGUUUUUUCCCAUGCCCAAACGUAAUUGGGUGAUAGUUGUUAAAUUUAUGGCUUGAGUUUUUGAUUCAUGGACCUAGAUUUGGCUUGGGAUUGGCUCGUUUAAUUGCAUGGACCAAAUACGCAGCUUGAAGAAUGUCUGAGUAUUGUACAGGGUUGGCCGUUCAGUGAAGCAACUGUGGACACCUGAAGAAGCCACGAUAGUUACUAGGCAAAUCCCAGGAGUCUGGCCACAAUGGUCCAGUUGUCUAGGAGGUUAACAAAAAGUUGGCAGAUCUCGGCUCAUGAGUUUUUAUUCUUUUAACAAUGAUUCUGCAACUCAUAUUUUUAUAUAUUUUUGUUGCUGAGGUAUAUUUGGGCCAAGAAGGAAAAUGAGAAGAAUUGAGAACAGAUUGUCUUGGUUUUUUAUCAGGAGAGUUUAGAGUGUCCUUUCAGAAAACUCCUGGGAAACGCUUUCCACUCGUCUCAUUUGUUUUUGAUUGACUCUUGCAAUUGGAGUUUUGGUUUGUGAGAAACUGAUUUAUUUCUUAUUGUAAUUCACUUUUGGUCAUCGUAAAAAAAACUCCUCCUAUUGACGUAGAUGAAACUGCCCAACCCCUUAAAUUAGCGUGUCACCGUUCUUUGCUCUUAAAAUGUAUUUCCUUGAAAAUUUCGAGUUUGCUUGUAAUCUGCUCACAACAGAGGACCUUGUGCAGGGUACCUGUAAAAAAACAUUUGGUAAAUUGCUUAUGAGGGCUCUCAUCCGAUCAAAUUUCAUAGACACUCCUAACUUUUGCCAGUUACUUCCACAGUCACUAAGAUCUAAAUUGACUUAUAUUAUAAUCGUUUGGUCAAAUAAGACAGUUGAUUUCUAUUUAGGAUGAUGUAUGUGACAGUCUGAUUUUUCGCUUCUGUUUUCAAUUGAAUAAUUCGGGCUUUUCGUCGACGUGCCUAUAGCGCUAUUCUCUGAGCUGAUCACUCAUGAGAUAACUUGACUAAUCGGGAAAGUUAUUAAAGAAUUUUGAUGCAACAGACUUGAAAAUUCGACCAGGAAUCGACUGCUCGACCGUGUUAGUCUACAAGGAUCAGUUCGGCACAGUCGAAAAUCUAUCAGAAAUCGGAAAUAGGUCGAUUCGAUAGAAAUAAAAUUAGAAUUGGGUGAUUCCAACUAAUUACAAAUUUCUCGUCGAUCGGCACUAAACCGAUUUUUCUGUUGUUUUGGUACCCUGUACUCGUAAUUGAAACCUCGAGAUUUUUCACGACAAUCGAGAGUUGCCAAUGCGUCGAAAAUAUAUAUCGUGGCUCGGGAAUAAUCGACCACAGGUCAGUGCACCAAAAGUUCCCAAAAACUAACCGAUAGUUUAAGUUGUGCUAGAAAUCACAUUUUGACUGAAAUUAACCGAGGAAAUGAUGUCGAUUACAGAAAUUAAGAAUUGUCACGUGUCACAAUUCAUCCCAAGGACAUUGUUGCGUCUUCUCAAAAUUUAUGGAUGAUGGGAAUUGUUCACGAAAUAUGCAAGAUCAGCAAAUUAGAAGAGCAAGGGAAUUGCCACAUUUUAAGUAGGAUUUUAAGACCUCUAAUGUGAAGCAAUUUAAGAGGUAUUAUAAUUGGUUACUAAGGGACUUGACCCUAUUGAAUUAAAUGUUAGAUUGGUAAUUAAAUAAAUAAAAAGAGAGGUCUCCUCAAAAAGGAAAUUCGUAGGACUCCCUCUCUCCUACAACUUCACCUCAAUUUCCUUAGUAUUUAAUGGAAAUUGACUUGGAAAAGUUAGGGGGACCACUUGAUAGGGAAAGGACUCAACAUCCAUGGGAAAAAGCUACGAGAAUCCACUCCAAAAUUCGGAUUUAGCAGUUCAUAGGGACUCCAACCUUUUCUUUCAUAUCAAUUGGAAGAAACAACGUUGGAAAAACUUUGUGGGGCCAAUGAGGGUGAUGGGUGGCCAAAGUUUCCAUGGAAAAUUAGGCCAAAGACUAAGGGAAACUUCAAUGAAACUUCCCAGCAACUUUCACUCUCCUUCCCCACCUUUUUUUUUUCUCACGCAUAGAAGUUUUUUGCUGUAAGUUUGUCUGCUGUAUUUUACACGGCAACUUCCAUCUUUCCCUUUCUUCCUCUUAGUUUAUUCUUCUUCCUUGUCUUUUUCAACGUACAAACCGUUGCUUUCUCUUUCCUUGAACGUUAAACUUUCAUUUAUGCUCCCUCUUGAACGACCAAACUCCAUACUUAGUUUCCUCUAUCGAAAAAUUUAUAAGUUUGUGUGUUGCUGUUGCCAUCAUACCACAUCACAAUCUUCUGCGGCUUCGGCUCAACACCAUCACCAAGAGGAUCAAGGCUGAUCUCUGUGUUGCUGUUCAACCACCAACGAGAGCCGCCGUUAGCUGUGUUUAGGUGAGUUGUCUUCUAAAUCUGGACUAGGGGUUGAGUACCUCUAUAGGAUUUGUACAAGUUAAAAUAUGUAGAUGCCGUUAUAUAUGGAUAGAUGUUGGUUAGGGACGUUAUGAUAGACAUAGAAAAGCUUAGAUAAGGCUUAGAGAGCAAAACAAAAGUCGUGGUGGAAGAUUCGGAUUAGAACAGUAGUAGAUUACCUGAAACAGUUUCUAGAACGUGUAUGUUUUGCUAAUUUUGUAGACAACUUUGUGUUGCGAUUUUGAAAGGAUUUUGUUCUGAAGAAACGUUGUGAACAUCUUAAAUA
rnacentral:lncRNA from 1 species